rnacentral:rRNA from 1 species
GAUGAACGCUGGCGGCGUGCUUAACACAUGCAAGUCGAACGAUGAAGCCCAGCUUGCUGGGUGGAUUAGUGGCGAACGGGUGAGUAACACGUGAGUAACCUGCCCUUAACUCUGGGAUAAGCCUGGGAAACUGGGUCUAAUACCGGAUAGGAGCGCCUACCGCAUGGUGGGUGUUGGAAAGAUUUAUCGGUUUUGGAUGGACUCGCGGCCUAUCAGCUUGUUGGGGAGGGAAUGGCUCACCAAGGCGACGACGGGUAGCCGGCCUGAGAGGGUGACCGGCCACACUGGGACUGAGACACGGCCCAGACUCCUACGGGAGGCAGCAGGGGGGAAUAUUGCACAAUGGGCGAAAGCCUGAUGCAGCGGCGCCGCGUGAGGGAUGACGGCCUUCGGGUUGUAAACCUCUUUCAGUAGGGAAGAAGCGAAAGUGACGGUACCUGCAGAAGAAGCACCGGCUAACUACGUG